CCGAGUAUCCAACUCACCAACCCAUGUGAACUAUACCUUCAUGUUGCUUCGGCGGGAUCCCGGGCCUUCUGCGCCCCGGCCCCGGGGAUACAAACCUCUGAAUUUUAAUAAGUAUUAUCUGAGUCGGCUUAAACAAAUGAAUCA
rnacentral:misc_RNA from 1 species